UGACGCUCAUUCAGCAUCUGCAAAGAGGCAACGAGAGACUGAACCGUCAGGGAUGCAGGGAAAUAAACUGUGCAUGUAUUUUCUUGCCGAUAUAUUACGGGGAUGUUUAUGAAUUCUCAAUUAAAUGAAAAGUGAAGCCUCCCUCCACACCCACAUCACUCUAAUAUUUACAAGCUUCUUGUGCAUGUGCUGCUCCGGCUAUGAAAGGCAAAUGAUGUCUUGGAUAGCUUUGUCAAAAUCUCAUUAAACAAAAUGAAACGGCACCUCAUGGCACCAGCUGAGCACACACUAAUCCACAUAUGAGCAUGCAUACACACACACACAUGCAGUGACGCACAAAGGCACGCCCACCGCACAGAUCUGCAACACAAAACGCCCAAGAAGCACUGUUUUAAAUGCAUAAUAACUGCUGCACAGCCAGUCUGUGCAUUAGCAGCAGUUCCAGUGAGGUCAGUCGUAUCUGAAUCAACACAUCCUUUACAGAUAGCCGUCCUUACAGCUGAAAAACCAACUGCUGCCAUAGCAACUGCUGCCACAAUAUAAAUCCUGGGGAAGAGGGUGAAAAAAAUGAAAGGAGAAAUUGAGAUGAGUUCAGAGCAGACCCUCGACUCCCAGCAGACAUUAACAUUCCCAAGAGGCCUUGCAAAGCCAUCCGUUGUUCUGUCAGCGUGCAACCCACCACCCCCUCCUGCCUUAUCGCCAAUAAACCCUUCAUUAUGGAGCCAUUAACAAUGUGAUAAUACAAGCAGAUCUACUCGUCUUAUUGUGGGGAGGUGUGUGUCACGUGUAGGGGAUAAAAAAACAAUAAAUCAAUGUGCACGCAGGCAGGCGACACGGCCGGCUAUGGAGGAAACUCCAGACAUGGUCCGUCUCAGCUGUCAUCCUGCAGAUUAAAAUGUUUGAGGCUGACAGGGGUCAAGUCUGACACCCCGAAUAAACCACUUUCCUGUCAGACGUGGAGGGAAUGUCAAUCUGACAGGUCUUCAUUCACAAAAAUUCGGUUGCCAGGCAAAGUCUCUUUUCCAAAGAAGCAAAUAUUUUAGGAAAUGAUCCAAAUUCUCUUAGUCUUUUUUACAGACGCCUCCCAUGUUCAUUCAUAAUUUCCAAAUAAGAUGCUCAAUUGUUUUAAAAUUAUAAUCUCGCAUGCCUCAUUGAAAUAAGCAGUGAAUAUUAAUUUGCAUGUCUUUCUAUUUUUUAACAGGUAGAUCCUACUGCACUUUUAAAGCAGCUGCCAAUACACCAACCUGAUCAUCUCACAUAAAUAUCAGAUUCAGCGUCUUUCUGCAGUGAAAUAUCCUACAGAAGCCCUCUUUGUCAGCCAGACUCCUUUAUUUCUGUCUCUACAACUCCCCCUCCUCCUCCUCCUCCUCCUCCUCCCCCUCCUCCUCCUCCUCCUCCAGGUCUCCGUACAAAGUGCGCUACGUCUGCAGCCCAUAAACUACCGUCUGGAUUCCCUUGUGUCCUCCCUGGCAGCUUCAUUGAUUCCCUCUCUCUCCUCUCCUCUCCUGCUGAAAGAUGCAUGAGUGUACUCAGGGAGGAGGACGCUUCCAAACACUGGCCAGUAGGAGGCAGGCUUUAGCCACAUCCCCACUUAGCUUUUGAUGCUGUUUUUAGAGUACACUCAGUACCAAAAAUUUUCCAGUAGAGAGACAAGCUGAGGACCAUUACAGGGUGCAGUAUGUGUGUGCGUCUCAUUCUGUUUCUGACUUUAACCCUAAUGCUGUUUGACAGCUGCUGUGAUGGUACAUUCAUGAGACUGUGGAUGCAUAAUUGCAGUUUCUGAAAGAUACUGUGUGCUCUUAGUUGUUGCUUUUCCUUUCUCAUGGAAAUUUUUUAAGGGCAUAAUUUUAAUUUGUGAUAGCAAACUCAGGACUCUUAUUUAAUACAGCGUAUUGGCACAUUAAUAGAGUGUUACAGCCCCCAGAAUAUGCAGCUUUCUGACUGGUGGUCCCCUAAAUUUCCCUUUAAUGAAAUAUUAAGCAUCUACAGUAAGGGUUUCUAUCAGAUUUGGCACAAACAGUCAAGGUCCCUGGAGGAUAAAUCCUAAAGAUCUUGGAUCUUCUGAAUUUUGAUGUGCUUUAUGUGAUUCUGAAUGAAAUGCCAUCAGAUUUUGCAUAGUCUUUGAAGCUACCGUCAGCAUGAAAUGUAAUGAUUUUAACGAAUAUGUUUGUUUUCGACAAAAUACCUGCAAAGCGAAGCUACUUCUCAAAGCACAGCUACAUCUUAGUUUGUUCAUUCACAUGUCUACUUCAUAGAUUUCAGGAAAUUCAGGGGGAAAAAAUUAAGCUUCUAUUGAGUCAAUGUCUUGCUCAAGGACACCAACCUUUUUUAAAAACAAUCCCAUCAACCUGAUUUUGAUGAUUUUGCCCAGCCGUACCUCACCUCCUGAACAAGACUAAUUUUCAGGUUUAUUUUUAAUUUAAGUAGCAUUAUAACGCCGCACUGAUGGACUGAUGAUAUUGUGAGAUGUUUGAAUGCCUUUUCCUCCUACUGACACUUUCAGACAGCGCCCCUGCUACAAAGCUGAAGGAGAGCCUAAUUGGGCACAGAGAAGAAAGAAAAGCCUUCCUCUUUUUUAACACCAAAGAAUGGCAAAAGCACUCCAGGGCCAGUGUGAUUGAAUAGUCUCCAGAGGGAAUAGAGAUGGAAGGAGGGGGGAAAGUUUACAUGUUAGGAGGGGCGGUCAUGCUCAGUUGCUCAUUAACAAGCUGUCUGAUUAAACCCCUCGCUAAUGACUUUGUCUCGGUAAUCAAUAGUAUCUGCUCUUUAAAAAGGUCUGCACACACUGAAUGGAGCGCUGUGCUAGGAGCAGCACGGGGGUUAUCAUGGUGUACGGUGAAGGAGGUUUGAGGCGUGUUUCCCUGUAGGCGGCUGUGAGCUUCAAGGUAAAUGGAUGAAGGGUGAUGGGUCACUCUGUUCAAACAGCUGAGCUGUGUUUGCUUGUCAGAAGGAAGAAGUGCAAGUAGUAUCUGCAAACUGAUAAUUUAGCUGAACACUGACAGAGUUAUGGUUCUACAUAGAGAAGGUGUGAGAACAAAAGGUCACGAUGCACAGAAAACUUUUUUUUCAAGAUUUUUCUUUCCCACCAUACUGUUACAUUGGAAUUCCCCUAAGAGUCCGUCCCUUUCCCAGUGGCUUAGAGAAGUCAUGUUUUUUCUGAAAUUGGAGAAAAUAAAGUACACUAUCAGGGGCUCCAGGGGCGAUUUUUUUCAUAUAUGGCAACCCUUCAUAUCCCAUUUUUAUGCCAUGCACCAUUUACCCUCUGACUAAUCAGAGCGCUACCAGAGUAGAUAGUUUAGGUUUCAUCUUAUACCUAAUGGUAUCCACCCCUUCACAGUGAGGCACAUAAUGAGUGUGUGUGUGUGUGUGUGUGUGUGUGUGUGUGUGUGUGUGUGUGUGUGUGUGUAUGUGUAUGUGUGUGUGUGUGUGUGUGUGUGUGUGUGUGUGUGUGUGCGUGUGUGCGUGUACGUGUGUCUGUUCGGGGUUUGGGCUUAGGUGGUCGCUUCCAGGGCUUAUAAUUUACCAUCUCUAGGCCAGAGAUCAUACGGUACGAGUUCUGUCUGUUUUGAAAUCUAAUUUGUCACUAUGGUCAAAUAUAUAUUUAAAGUAAUAUCCAUUUCAGAGUAAUGAAUAUUGACUGGUAUAUGUAUGUGUAUACAUGUAUGUACAUAUGUGUAUGUGUAUUAUGUAUAUAUAUAUAUAUAUAUAUAUAUAUAUAUAUGUUGUUUUUUUUCGUCUACUACUACUGUACCAAUAUAUUUUCAUCUAUAUUUAUACAUAGACAUCAAUGAUUAUUGUUUUGUGAAAGCCUGGAUGUCAUACCCCAUUGUUCUAAAUAAAAGUUUAAAAAAAAAUUAUUAGUAUGGAUAAAAGGUCAUAUCAUCAAUUAUUUUCUUUCAAUAAAACUGGUCGAUUGUUUAAAAAAAAAAAAGAUUUUUCUUUCCGCAUUCAGCUAAAACUGACCAUAAACACGCAACAUGCUUUGAGUAUGACAUUUUUAUUGCCUCAGGUUUCUUUGAUGUUGUGUUCACAUGUGUGCUUUGGUGUUACUGACAGUUCUGCUGUGGAGAAACAGGUGUUCUGUGACUAAAUGGACAGUAAAGAUAUGACGUCUGUCAGCCAGUCAAAAUGUAGCUGUGACAAAGGAGCGCUGACAGCAUUGAUUUAUUAGAGAGUUUUGGCUCAAUGGGGUUUUUAAUGCAAUUAACAAAGCAUUUAAUGGGUUUCAGUCAGUGACCAACACUGUAAUACAGCCCUCAUUUAGUGGUGAAGAUUUACACUGUGAAUUUAAUCAUAUGCUGUCAGUCUGUUUCCACAGAUUCAGUUCACAGAGUCCUCACUAAACAUGCACUGAAACUGUUAUGUUUUCUCUUUCUAUAGAGCGAUGGAUGUAGAAUUCAGCUGAGUGAAAACUUCUCCUCUCACUCAAAACCCUCCUCACACAGAUGGACCUCGACUCCCGGGUUUGAACUCUUCGCUGAAGGUCUAUGUACUGAAUACAAUCAUUGUCAGCCCGGUCUUAUCCUGACCGUUGGUUGCCAAGCAACCCUGCCUCCCCUUCCUUGAGCCUUCAUACAGACGCAUACGGGUGGAGCAUGACUCAGGGAGCCUGAAAUGUACCAACGUCUCCAUCCCAGUGAUGGCAAAUCAGUCACUUUGACUCAUUGUACCUGUUGCUGAUUCAAUCACUGAUAAAUAAUUUGACUUUGCACAUCA